UACGGAAGGCAGCAGUGGGGAAUAUUGCACAAUGGGCGCAAGCCUGAUGCAGCCAUGCCGCGUGUAUGAAAAAGGCCUUCGGGUUGUAAAGUACUUUCAGUCGUGAGGAAGGUGUUAAGGUUAAUAACCUUAGCAAUUGACGUUAGCGACAGAAGAAGCACCGGCUAACUCCGUGCCAGCAGCCGCGGUAAUACGGAGGGUGCGAGCGUUAAUCGGAAUUACUGGGCGUAAAGGGCACGCAGGCGGUUAAUUAAGUUGGAUGUGAAAUCCCCGGGCUUAACCUGGGAAUGGCAUUCAAGACUGGUUAGCUAGAGUCUUGUAGAGGGGGUAGAAUUCCAUGUGUAGCGGUGAAUGCGUAGAGAUGUGGAGGAAUACCGGUGGCGAAGGCGGCCCCUGGACAAAGACUGACGCUCAUGUGCGAAGCGUGGGGAGCGAAACAGGAUUAGAUACC
rnacentral:rRNA from 1 species